UUUAGAGCCAUAACCUCAGGCUACGGUCUCAUCAGAUCUCACAAUCUAAAUAGGGUCAGGCCAGGUCAGUAUUUAGAUGGGAAACUUCCAAGAAAACUCUGAUGUUUGCAGAA
rnacentral:rRNA from 1 species